rnacentral:rRNA from 1 species
GUGGGGAAUCUUCCGCAAUGGACGAAAGUCUGACGGAGCAACGCCGCGUGAGUGAAGAAGGUUUUCGGAUCGUAAAGCUCUUUCGUUAGGGACGAACGUGCUCUUUGUGAAUAAUGAGGAGUAAUGACGGUACCUAAAUAAGAAGCCACGGCUAACUACGUGCCAGCAGCCGCGGUAAUACGUAGGUGGCAAGCGUUGUCCGGAAUUAUUGGGCGUAAAGCGCGCGCAGGCGGGAUAUCAAGUCUGUCUUAAAAGUGCGAGGCUCAACCUCGUGAGGGGACAGAAACUGGUAUUCUUGAGUGUCGGAGAGGAAAGUGGAAUUCCAAGUGUAGCGGUGAAAUGCGUAGAUAUCUGGAAGAACACCAGUGGCGAAGGCGGCUCUCUGGCCUAGAACUGACGCUGAAGCGCGAAAGCGUGGGGAGCGAACAGGAUUAGAAACCCUGGUAGUCC